rnacentral:rRNA from 1 species
UGGGGAAUAUUGGACAAUGGACCGAGAGUCUGAUCCAGCAAUUCUGUGUGCACGAUGAAGUUUUUCGGAAUGUAAAGUGCUUUCAGUUGGGAAGAAAAAAAUGACGGUACCAACAGAAGAAGUGACGGCUAAAUACGUGCCAGCAGCCGCGGUAAUACGUAUGUCACAAGCGUUAUCCGGAUUUAUUGGGCGUAAAGCGCGUCUAGGUGGUUAUGUAAGUCUGAUGUGAAAAUGCAGGGCUCAACUCUGUAUUGCGUUGGAAACUGUAUAACUAGAGUACUGGAGAGGUAAGCGGAACUACAAGUGUAGAGGUGAAAUUCGUAGAUAUUUGUAGGAAUGUCGAUGGGGAAGCCAGCUUACUGGACAGAUACUGACGCUAAAGCGCGAAAGCGUGGGUAGCAAACAG